rfam:Triticum aestivum genome assembly, contig: Triticum_aestivum_CS42_TGACv1_scaffold_625116_7DS
GCGGUAAUACCGCUCCCUUGAGCGGUAGUACCGCUUGAGCUUUUCCAGAACAUAAUGGUUGGAUCCUCCUAUGGCGGACACAGGUGGUGCAUGGUUGUCGUCAACUCAUGCCGUAAGGUGUUGGGUUAAGUCUCGCAACGAGCGCAACCCCCGUGUUUAGUUGCCACUAUGAGUUUGGAACCCUGAACAGACCACCGGUGUUAAGCCGGAGGAAGGAGAGGAUGAGGCGAAGUCAUCAUGCCCCUUAUGCCCUGGGCGACACACGUGCUACAAUGGGCGGGACAAAGGGCCGUGAUCUCGCGAGGGUGAGCUAACUCCAAAAACCCGUCCUCAAUUCGGAUUCCAGGUCGUAACUCACCUACAUGAAGCAGGAAUCGCUAGUACUCGCCGGUCACGUUGGGCUAGUAAU